rnacentral:lncRNA from 1 species
AUGCAAACACUCAAGGAAGGAACCUUUCACAACUUUUCCUGCAGUUCCCUGCCCACGUUUUGCAGCAGGACAGCUCCGGGUUGUUGCAGCCCCGCGGCCGGGAGGUGCCGUGCCCGCAUCCAGCUCAGCAUCACGCAGCGCCGCGGGGCCGGAGGGGGCUGCGGUGCUCGUGGGGGCUGCGGCCGGCAGCGGGCUGUCUCGGGAUGCCGCCGAGCCCCGUUCCCAGCCCUCGAGCCCGCCCGCCAGGUGGGGCCGUUGCCGUUCCGGCGAUGCUCGGGGAGGGAUGCGGAGCGAAGGGACCCGGAGGUGCGGGUCGGACGCGUGGGGAUGUCGGGUUGCAAUCGGGUCCCGGGCAACGGGGUGCUGCGAUGCACUGAGCAGGAAACUGUUCCAGCUCCGACCUCAGGGCUCUUCCAGCCUGUGCUGCAGCUGAUACAAAGAGCAGUUCCUUAUCCACCCCGCUUCCCUGCUGGGCCCGCUGUGUGCCGCGGCCGGAUGCCUUCUUCCCCACGAAGGUCCUUUGGUGGCUUGUGCUCGGGUUCUUCGUCCGCUGGGAACGGAGCUCCGGGCUUCAGGACCGCCUCUGCGCCGGCGAAUGGUGCGGAUGCUUCGCUCGCCUGGUGGAUCAUUUCCCUCGUGCAUCUCCUGGUGGGACUGCAGGAGCUGGCAGCAAAAUGAAGCCAUAAAUCACCGUGACAGAUGAUCGAUGUAAACAUUGUUUCCGCCAUGAUUGCCAGCGCUCCCCGUGGGCUCACUGUCCGCUCGCCAUUCGCUGGGAUUGCAGCCGUGCCGCCGGGAGCCGCGCUCACGCACCGAAGUCGCUCCUGUCCAAGAAGUAACCAUCUCAUUUCGGGGCUCAGCCCAAGCGCCCGAUGGCGAAUAUUAAUCAAAACGCCCUGUUUAGGUACCGGGGAGGUCAUCUUCUGGAUCUAAGAAAUGUUUCUCAGGCAAUUGCUCUUUUUAAAAAGUAAAAAAUAAAAUAAAAAGACAUUUUAUGCUCCUGUUUUAU